ACGAAUCUCCUCGCCCUCUGCCGGUGGGAGGGAAGUGAGAGCGGCCUCCAGGGACGGGCUGAGAAAGCCAGAACGUGAACGGGCAGCAGGCGUGUUGGACGGUAAGGUGUAGUGGUUAAAGGUGGGGCUGAGGCCAGUUUGGAUAUCCAGCCAGCCCAAUCCUUAUGCCAGAAGAGGAAAAGAGGAGGAUCCCUCGGGUUGUAAUUGAGGUCGUGGCCCAAGAAGAGAGGAAAAUGCUUGAGGUCAACCACUGGCUGCGCAGGCGGUGUCGUCAGGAAGGAUUUGGCUUCUUGGAUCAUGGUCUCCGCUUCCUUCAGAAUCCGGAUGGAAGCUGACCAAACCUACCAUCAGAGCCCGGCUGGUCCAGGGGAACCUCCUUCUUGGCAACAAUGUUGACCACUAAGGUAGUCUAGGCUGAGACAAUCGUGACUUGUCCAAGGCCACCCAACAAGCUUCUUGGCUCAACAGGAAUUUGAACCCAGGUCUUGCGCACCCAGAGCCAGCACUCCCCCAAACUGGCCUGUUUGCCAUCUGCUGAAGAGAGAACCAAGACUCGUACCUCUUCAAAGCGCCCUCUGGACUCUUCAGCACCAGGAAAGCCCCCUCCAAUGUCCAGGAGGUGCAUCUUGUAGCCUAGUUCUGCACCCAUUUCAAAGACCAGGCGAGCGUCUGCUAUGGACUGAGUGAAGAGCUGGGGGUCGGCACAGCUGCUUCCAAUGUGGAAGCUGGAAAGGAAGGCAAGUGGGCUGUGAGCACAAGGAAACCCGCAGCCUACCUGAUGCCAACCACCUCGACAUUCAUCUCCUUUGCAGUCUCAAGCAGGUGACGGCAGACUUUAAGUGUGGCGCCGUAUUUCAUGCUCAUGCAGGUGGAGGACCUGGAGUCGUCGGUAGCCAAGCACAGAAUCAUUCUGUGGAACAAGGUGGGGAGAGCAAACUCAGACGACGACUGUGACAAUUGUGGUAUAUUGCUUAUUCUGAGCCAACAGCAUGCCAGGCACAGUACAGACUCAUCUUUUGCAAAGUCGCUUUCCAGGAGAUGCUUGUGAUAACCCAGCACCUGCCUCCCCUCCAAUUCUGCACCAAGGGCAAAUUAUUUUUAAAAUAUCCCAUUUUUUUUAUAUCUCCUCUUUUGCUGAUUGUUUCUCUCUCUUCUCCGCUUUUUUUCAAAAUCCAGAUAUUCAGUGUAUUUGAAUUUUGGGACAAAGACUUGCAGAGUCACACAGCAAAUCUCCUGAGUUCAGACUGCAAGUUUCUAUCCUCAGUCCCACAUUAAAAAAAUAUAUAUUACCUGUACUUCACCCUCAGGUCCCAGGGCAGGUUACAACAUUGAAACUCAACUUUACAACACAUUUUAAAAAACAUUUUAUAACAUCUUACAAUUAGAGUAAUGAGGUGGGUCCUAAAAAUCUGCACCUCAAAAGUCAGGACAAAGAAAAUUGUCCUCAGCAUUCACCGAAAACUGUAUAAUGAAGGCGCCAGAAACAUCUCUAAGGGGAAGGUCCACAACUGAUUUGCUUGUGUGGUGUUUAUACAUCUUCCUAUUAUUCAUUUAUUCAUCCCACAUUUUUCAAUGCAUUUCCCGGUCACUUUCCUAACCUCAAAAGUUUAAUUUUCUUUUUAAGUGGAUUUGUUGCUGUAGAGCGAUAGAGUCCAUUAAUCGACUUUGUGUGAACCUAAGUUUCUGGGAUGUGCUUGAAUCCCUCUCGCAAAAUAAAAACAGUCUGCAGGCAA